UCCUUACGGAUGGUAGCUUGCUAAAGGG
rnacentral:piRNA from 1 species